GACGAACGCUGGCGGCGUGCCUAAUACAUGCAAGUCGAGCGAAGCGGGGACGGGUGAGUAACACGUGGAUAACCUCCUAUAAGACCGGGAUAACUUCGGGAAACUGGAGCUAAACCGGAUAUUUAUAGAUGGCUCCGCGCUGCAUAAGCUAGUUGGUAAGGUAACGGCUUACAAAGGUAACCAUGCAUAGCCGAACGGGGAGGGUGAUCGACGACACGGGAACGUGUACAGGGUCCAGAUGCCUACGUGAGGGAGCAGUAGGGAAUCGUCCGCAGUGGUCGAAAGCCGUGCGGAGCAACGCCGCGUGAGUGAUGAAGGUCUUCGGAGCGUAAAACUCUGUUAUUAGGUAAACGGUACCUAAUCAGAAAGCCACGGCUAACUACGUGCCAGCAGCCGCGGUAAUAC
rnacentral:rRNA from 1 species